GAAGGACACAAAAGAAUCUACAUCCAAAUAUAAAGAACUAGCGCCGUAUCGACUAAUGGCCUAGUAGUCAGUUGGAUCCUACUAGUCGUCUUUUGAUGGAGACGGCGCGGCGCCGUCACGGCGGGAUGAUAGUGAUAGCCAAAGAGGAUGGCGGAGCGGCGCUUCCCACCGUAACUUUAUACCGGACGGAAAAACGACACUUUUCUGUAGUAGCGCGGACGGCGGCCCCCAGCCACCGUUCCUCCUCCGGCCAUCGACCUCCGGUGGGCUGGCUACCGAAUUUCCGGCCGGGGCAAAGGUCACCGUCGGUUCGGCC
rnacentral:lncRNA from 1 species